AUUGGACGCUGGCGGCAGGCCUAACACAUGCAAGUCGAGCGGAUGAAGGGAGCUUGCUCCUGGAUUCAGCGGCGGACGGGUGAGUAAUGCCUAGGAAUCUGCCUGGUAGUGGGGGAUAACGUCCGGAAACGGGCGCUAAUACCGCAUACGUCCUGAGGGAGAAAGUGGGGGAUCUUCGGACCUCACGCUAUCAGAUGAGCCUAGGUCGGAUUAGCUAGUUGGUGGGGUAAAGGCCUACCAAGGCGACGAUCCGUAACUGGUCUGAGAGGAUGAUCAGUCACACUGGAAGUGAGACACGGUCCAGACUCCUACGGGAGGCAGCAGUGGGGAAGAUUGGACAAUGGGCGAAAGCCUGAUCCAGCCAUGCCGCGUGUGUGAAGAAGGUCUUCGGAUUGUAAAGCACUUUAAGUUGGGAGGAAGGGCAGUAAGUUAAUACCUUGCUGUUUUGACGUUACCAACAGAAUAAGCACCGGCUAACUUCGUG
rnacentral:rRNA from 1 species